CACGUAGGGUGCGAGCGUUGUCCGGAAUUAUUGGGCGUAAAGAGCUCGUAGGCGGUGUGUCACGUCGUUCGUGAAAACCUGCAGCUUAACUGUGGGCGUGCGGUCGAUACGGGCAUCACUGGAGUUCGGCAGGGGAGACUGGAAUUCCUGGUGUAGCGGUGAAAUGCGCAGAUAUCAGGAGGAACACCGGUGGCGAAGGCGGGUCUCUGGGCCGAUACUGACGCUGAGGAGCGAAAGCGUGGGGAGCGAACAGG
rnacentral:rRNA from 1 species